AGAACGACUCUCGGCAACGGAUAUCUCGGCUCUCGCAUCGAUGAAGAACGUAGCGAAAUGCGAUACUUGGUGUGAAUUGCAGAAUCCCGUGAACCAUCGAGUCUUUGAACGCAAGUUGCGCCCGAAGCCUUCUGGCCGAGGGCACGUCUGUCUGGGCGUCA
rnacentral:rRNA from 1 species